UGAGUCGGAGCUGUGGCUCUAAAAAUUCAAAGACUCCCUUUCUGCUAUCUGGCAUUUGCCCACAGUCUCAAGGUAAACCACAGAAAACCUUGAGCAGAUAGUCGAGCAUUGAACUGAAUUUUCAAAAUUUUAUGUGCCAUGUUUUCACAAAGGUCAGUGUAAAAAGUGUGUAGUGUAUAGCUUCUUGAAUUAGAGGACAUCAGAAUC